UUGUCAAAUAUGAAAUAAUUUAUAGUUUCUAAGUUAUAUUAAGUCUUAAGUAGUGUCGAGAUAAUUCAUCCAUGAAGUCAAUCUUUCUAUUUAGAGUAUGACGCACUUUUUCCUAUUUUCAUGAUUUCUGUCAUCCGAUUCAUACUUCUCCCCCUCCAAAAUAAUGCAUGAUUAUUUUUAUUCUCAUUGAUUUCUGAAUAACUAUAUUAUAUUUUUAUUUUCUUGAUCAAUAAUAUAUUUGAAACAUAAAGUAAUACAAUAAAUCAAGAACAAUAUAGGAAAAUAGGAAAGUAUGAGCUUGAUGACGAAAAUAAUAAAAAUAAGAAAAAGUACGU
rnacentral:lncRNA from 1 species